UACGGAGGGUGCGAGCGUUGUCCGGAAUCACUGGGCGUAAAGGGUGCGUAGGUGGCGCUGUAAGUCAGGUGUGAAAUUUCGGAGCUUAACUCCGAAACUGCAUUUGAUACUGCGGUGCUUGAGGACUGGAGAGGAGACUGGAAUUUACGGUGUAGCAGUGAAAUGCGUAGAGAUCGUAAGGAAGACCAGUGGCGAAGGCGGGUCUCUGGACAGUUCCUGACACUGAGGCACGAAGGCCAGGGGAGCAAACGGG
rnacentral:rRNA from 1 species